AUUGGCCAUGGGCGCAGGCUGACGGUGCGACGCCGCGUGGACGAUGAAGGCCUUCGGGUUGUAAAGCCUGUCAGAGGCCAUGAAAGUGGGCCGGUGAAUAACCGGUUCUUUGACCAGCCUCAAAGGAAGGUCCGGCUAACUUCGUGCCAGCAGCAGCGGUAAUACGGAGGGACCCAGCGUUGUUCGGAAUUACUGGGCAUAAAGGGCGUCUAGGCGGAUCGAUAAGUCGGGUAUGAAAGCCCUGGGCUCAACUCAGGAACUGUGCCCGAUACUGUCGGCCUUGAGUGCAGAAGGGGAGAGUGGAACUCCUGAUGUAGCGGUGAAAUGCGUUGAUAUCAGGAUGAACGCCGGUGGCGAAAGCGGCUCUCUAGUCUGCUACUGACGCUGAAGCGCGAAAGCUAGGGGAGCGAACGGGAUUAGAUACCCCGGUAGUCCUAGCCGUAAACGAUGGGCACUAAGUAGGGGAAGUACCGAUAUUUGCCCUGCUGAAGCUAACGUGAUAAGUGCCCCGCCUGGGGAGUACGACCGCAAGGUUAAAACUCAAAGGAAUUGACGGGGGCCCGCACAAGCGGUGGAGCAUGUGGCUCAAUUCGAGGCAACGCGAAGAACCUUAUCCUGGGCUUGACAUGCUGGUGGUACGACCCUGAAAGGGGAAGGACCCUACUUUGUGGGGAGGCAGCACAGGUGCUGCAUGGUGUCGUCACUCCGGUGUGAGAUGUUGGGUUAAGUCCCGUAACGAGCGAACCCUUGCCCUUAGCUCCACCGCGUCAUGGCGGGGACUCUAAGGGGAUGCCGGUGUAAACGGAAGAAAGGGGGGGAUACACCAAUCCGAUGGCUUUAUGCCGGGCUGCCCAGUG
rnacentral:rRNA from 1 species